rnacentral:rRNA from 1 species
GGGGAAUCUUGCACAAUGGGGGCAACCCUGAUGCAGCGACGCCGCGUGAGCGAUGAAGCCCUUCGGGGCGUAAAGCUCUUUCGACCGGAACGAUAAUGACGGUACCGGGAGAAGAAGCUGCGGCUAACUACGUGCCAGCAGCCGCGGUAAUACGAAGGCAGCAAGCGUUGUUCGGAGUUACUGGGCGUAAAGAGUGCGUAGGCGGUUUUCUAAGUUCGGUGUGAAAUCUCCCGGCUUAACUGGGAGGGUGCGCCGAAGACUGGGAAGCUGGAGUGUGGGAAAGGCAGGCGGAAUUCCUGGUGUAGCGGUGAAAUGCGUAGAUAUCAGGAGGAGCACCGGCGGUGUAGACGGCUUGCUAGACCAUAACUGACGCUGAGGCACGAAAGCGUGGGUAGCAAACA